AGUACUUUACAGUUGGUCCCAGCAGGUUAAACAUUCACUUCAUAUUGCGCAAUCCCAUAAUAUGUUCCACUGACCAGCUCUGAUGACUUUGUGAUGACAUGCCUGGGUGUGUCUGAGAGUUUUGGAAAUCUAACUAAUACAUGUCUUCAAAAUAAUUUGGAACCGACAAGGACUGGAACUGAGGUGCAGAAUCUUACCUGAGAUUUCACUACUUUUAUCAUUACUGAGAUUUUGUCACUUAUAACGAUUAACAAAAUGGUUCAUAUUGCAAAGAAACUGGUCUUUCUCUGCAUGCUGAUUGGAUGCUCACAGGCUUUUCCAUACCAUGAUGUCACCACUGAGGAUGAAAAAUUUGAAAAAGCAAUGAAAAUGUUUGAGGUCACUGAUUUUACUCCACCAGUGUGCCGUGUGGUAAAUGAGAGUUUGGACUGUCCGUUGUCAUGUGAAAAUGCAAGCUGGGAAGUGACUUACAUCAUGUCAGAUGGUGCUGGUUCAGGAAUUGAUCACCCCACUUUUUCUGCCACUGACUCUACCGAAUUCAACCUUACAUUUUUCAUCUUCAUUGAUACAACUGUAGAUGAAAAUGGCUACAAUGCAACCAUUGUGAAAUAUAUUGGUUCCUGCUGCUUCCACGAUGUGCAGAUUACUGUGAUAGACAAGGCAGGAAACAGGGCAAAGUGCCCUUUUAAUAUAAUACGCCCAGUGACCACAAUCAGUCCAAUGACUGUCAAACCCACAUCCAGUAGCUCUACCACAACCAUCUCUCUUUUGUCAAGUUUUAUAGUGAUGGCACUGAAAUCUAUACUGUUUUAACAUGGAUGUUAACUGUAUGUAAAUGUGCACUUAAUGAAAAAUGAUUUUUUUUAAUGACUUGUACGAUAUAGUACAUGAAACUGUGACAGGCCAGCAUUUUUUUAUUUAUUCCUAAUUUUACUGCAAUCAUGUACUUUUACUAUUUAUAUUGCUGUAUACUUAGAGAAUAAAAUCAAACUUGUGAAAGUA